GAUCUCCACCCAAAGCAGGAUUUGGUACAUUUGGUCCCGAAGGAAAUCCCAGAUUAACCAGUGUGGUGUGGUAGAUAGUUGUUUACAUGAACUGACAGAAGUAUACCAAGUAACAAAGUUAGUUAUUUACAGCCAAAGUUCAAUGCCUCCAAACCAAAGCUUAACUCCUAACAGGAAAUGUCUCCAAAUAUUGUGGCCAAACCUUAACUCCUAACAGGAAAUGUCUCCAAAUAUUGUGGCCAAACCUUGGAACCUAAAAAAAUGGAGAGAAAAACGAAAUCAGGAAAUGCAACAGACAGGAAGUCACAUAGGAUAAAACUAUCUCAUUGCACCUGACAUAUACAGUACUGCUAAGAAAUUUCAUUAUCAGUUAUUUUGUAGAUUUUUUAAUAGAAUUAGCUCACUGAUGAGAGCCAACUGAAACUUUGCUGAAAUACAAUUUGAUGUGAUAAACUUUUUUACAAUAGUUAAAGUCGAAUGUGCAUAUAUACUUAAGCAUGUACUGUGUCAAAUAUAUAUCUUCAGAACCGGAGAAUCAGCAUGCAUGUCAUCUGCUAUUUUUCUAAUAAAAAUGUUUCCGUACCAUCCAUCGUCUCAACCUUCUGAAUCCAACUAAUCCAAGCUCGCCAUCGCCAUCAAUGGCACAUCCAGCUCAUGAAAGGAUAAAUAGCAAUAAAACAUUUAUGCACCACUCGUGUGUGUGUGUGUACAUAACAAUGGAAUAGAAAACAAUGAAAAUGUCUCAUUCAUCUGCUUCCUACUGAACCAAAGUGUGCUCCUCCGAGAAACAAUCACCAAAAUAACAUUUAAAAUUAGUAAAGGAUAAUGCUACAAUUUUCAGAUUGUCGGCAGAGAGGUUAGAGCUAUCAUCGUGACAAUGUAUUGCCAGAUAAAUCAACUACUUAAGUGUAAUUAUAUAACUUCUAUUUCAUUACCCCAAAAAAAUAGUAUAGCAAAAAGGCAUGGAUUCAAAAACUUCUCCAAAAUCAUCUACUGGAAAAAUAAAUCAGAAAGACAAUGUCUGUCAUAUAUACACACAGGGGGGUCUAGAAGAAGAAAAAUCGGAUCAUCUGUAGGUGAUAUACCUUUGCAGAAGGACAACCUUAGAGGUACACUAAGUAGACUUCAAAGUGUGUAAACUGAUCUAAUAGGUGAAAGUUUAAUUCAACAAAUAUGGCAAUCACUAACUGCCCUAUAGUCAAGAGAUUGUAUCACUAAGCUGCCCCUUCUAAGCAAUAAUGGUAGCAGUUGCUUGCAGGGUGAGAAAGGUUAACUUUCCGAUAAGCAGACAUUCUUGAUUAUGAUCAAAACAAUAGCCUUGUUAUAUUAC
rnacentral:lncRNA from 1 species